rnacentral:rRNA from 1 species
UGGGAGGCAGCAGUGGGGAAUCUUGCGCAAUGGGCAAAAGCCUGACGCAGCGACGCCGCGUGAGUGGUGAAGGCCUUCGGGUUGUAAAGCUCUGUGGAGGGGGACGAAUAAGCCAUGGCUAAUAUCCAUGGUGAUGACGGUACCUCUUUAGCAAGCACCGGCUAACUCUGUGCCAGCAGCCGCGGUAAGACAGAGGGUGCAAACGUUGUUCGGAAUUACUGGGCGUAAAGCGCGUGUAGGCUGCCUCGAAAGUCGGAUGUGAAAGCCCUGGGCUCAACCUAGGAAGUGCAUUCGAAACUUCGGGGCUGGAGUCCUGGAGAGGAUAGCGGAAUUCUCGGUGUAGAGGUGAAAUUCGUAGAUAUCGAGAGGAACACCGGUGGCGAAGGCGGCUAUCUGGACAGUGACUGACGCUGAGACGCGAAAGCGUGGGGAGCAAACAGGAUUAGAUACCCCGGUAGUCCC